GAAAAGAAUCAGGAAUGUGAGGAAGCAAUGAAGGCUUUGAAGGAAAAGUUGGACACAUCUAAGAGCAAAUAUAAUAAGGUUGGAGUUUCAUUUAAGGACUCAUGUGCCUAGGGAUCCAAUGAGGAGACCUCUAAGACGGAGGCCAUCAGGUCCCAUGACACUCUACAACCUGAGUUGAUCGCCUCUAAGGUCUGCAUCAAGAAAUUGGAGGAAGGGAUUGUGGAUGAGUUUGACCACAAGUUUGUUAUGC
rnacentral:lncRNA from 1 species